GCUCGUAGUUGGAUUUUGGUUAAGAGGGCGCGGUCGGCCGUUUGGUCUGUACUGCGUUGUCUUGACUUCCUGAUGAGGACAUGCUCUUGGUUAACGCUGAGACAUGGAGUCAUCGUGGUUACUUUGAAAAAAUUAGAGUGUUCAAAGCGGGCUUACGCUUGAAUAUAUUAGCAUGGAAUAACACUAUAGGACUCCUGUCCUAUCUCGUUGGUCUCGGGAUGGGAGUAAUGAUUAAGAGGAACAGUUGGGGGCAUUCGUAUUUCAUUGUCAGAGGUGAAAUUCUUGGAUUUAUGAAAGACGAACUUCUGCGAAAGCAUUUGCCAAGGAUGUUUUCAUUAAUCAAGAACGAAAGUUGGGGGCUCGAAGAUGAUUAGAUACCAUCCUAGUCUCAACCAUAAACGAUGCCGACUAGGGAUUGGUGGAUGUUAAUUGAUGACUUCACCAGCACCUUAUGAGAAAUCAAAGUUUUUGGGUUCCGGGGGGAGUAUGGUCGCAAGGCUGAAACUCAAAGGAAUUGACG
rnacentral:rRNA from 1 species